rnacentral:pre_miRNA from 1 species
AGGAGGAACAUCCCCAGUGGCGGGGCCAGCUCUGGAAACCUGGAUUCAGCUCCGGCAGGAACUCCGUCUGCAGGGCCUGGAGGCUCUGGGGCGGG